rnacentral:rRNA from 1 species
GACGAACGCUGGCGGCGUGCUUAACACAUGCAAGUCGAACGAAGAGCGAUGGAAGCUUGCUUCUAUCAAUCUUAGUGGCGAACGGGUGAGUAACGCGUAAUCAACCUGCCCUUCAGAGGGGGACAACAGUUGGAAACGACUGCUAAUACCGCAUACGAUCUAAUCUCGGCAUCGAGGAUAGAUGAAAGGUGGCCUCUACAUGUAAGCUAUCACUGAAGGAGGGGAUUGCGUCUGAUUAGCUAGUUGGAGGGGUAACGGCCCACCAAGGCGAUGAUCAGUAGCCGGUCUGAGAGGAUGAACGGCCACACUGGGACUGAGACACGGCCCAGACUCCUACGGGAGGCAGCAGUGGGGAAUCUUCCGCAAUGGACGAAAGUCUGACGGAGCAACGCCGCGUGAGCGAUGACGGCCUUCGGGUUGUAAAGCUCUGUUAAUCGGGACGAAAGGCCUUCUUGCGAAUAGUGAGAAGGAUUGACGGUACCGGAAUAGAAAGCCACGGCUAACUACGUG